GGGGGGGGGGGGGUCUGGCUACUGGUCACCAUACCAUUGUGUUUUCUGAUGGUUGUAAUUGUGUCUUUGUAAAGGAGGACAGGCUUGUGUUUGUUAUUUCCAUUUAAUGAUUGUUAUUGUCUUCUGUAUUCUGAUUAUGUAUGCUGUCAGCCUGUCAAUGAACCAAACACUGCACCAGAGAACAAAGAGCGGAAUAAUCAAAUGCGAUGGGAAAUGCCUUCAAAUCUUUUAUAUUAUUUUUACCCAUUUGAGUUUAACGGAGUGAAAACCAAAAGGAACAUCUUUCUUGAAAGAACUCCCAAACUCAGCAGCUUACAAUGCAAUAUAUUUAUUAGUUGUAAUGUUUCAGUACCUGACCUCAAAUGGGAAUACUUUACAAAGAACAUUUUAGAACCCGCUUUCUCACUUCCUGUCUGACUAGCCAUUCCAAGGCCUCCGAGGAAAAUGCAUUUUGACGUCGUAUUAAAAAUGAACUGUGAAGAGAGCAGGUUUCAGAAGACAUGGUAAAUGUUAGUGAGCAUUCUACCGGUAACUGGAGGCAGAGCGAGGCAGUGAGCGUCUUAAUAGUUUAACCUUGUCACUUCUACAAUCUAUUCCAAGGAAUCUAACAAGUUAUCCAGGCCAAGGUUUAAAAGUAGAACAGCCACGCGAAGAAAACACUGUUCAUAAUGUUUGCGUGUGACAUUUUCCCACACACAGUUUCUCUGCAGUUCUCGCUCUGCUGUGCUGCUAUAGUUUAACAUUUCCUUUUUGCUCAGUAUUGCUUGGCACAUGGCCCUUAUCCCCUUUCCUCUACCCCCCAGAACUUCCUCUUUUGAUUUGUCAGUUCAAGGUUCUCUCUCUUUGCCUCUCUUCGACCCUGUAGAUCUAUCUUUUAUCUAUGCCACACACACACACACACACACACCGCACACGCACACACACACACACACACACACACACACAGUAAAGGUUCCUAUGAGGGCAACCAGUGAGUGAGAGCCCCAGGAGGUAGUUAUAUCCCACCCUACACUGUUGAUGUUUCAAAAGCGUGCUCGCUUGACUGUGUGUGUGUGUGUUUGUGUUGUGUGUUUGUGUCUGCGUGCGCGUGUGUGUGAACACCUGAGAGCUUUCAUAAUUGGCUGUGAGAGAUAGAGAGUGUGACAGCACCCGCGGAUUUGCGGUCUAUUUUUAACAUCGUGGCUCACUGGAGGCCCAGAGGUGUGCGUGUGUGUAUGUUUGUCUGUGCGUAUAUAUGUGUGUGUGUGUGUGUGUGUGUGUGUGUGUGUGUGUGUGUGUGUGUGUGUAUGCCCAAACCCAUUACCUCCUGUUCCUGACUCCCCUAUCUAUUGCUUUUGCCACAUUACCUGUACUAUGGACCACAUACAUGCAUGCAAGCACACGCAAAUGCAUGCACGCAUGCACAUACAUACAAACACACACAUACACACUCUCAUGCACACAAACAAACACAAGUCUGUAUGGCUACUAGAUACGGUUACUUACUCAAACCAGCAGACAUGUCUGCAUUAUUCAUGAGUUAGGGUCAUAUUGCUUCCUGUAUUCCGGUUUACAUGAUCGCUGGGGGAAACACAAUGUGGGUCAAAGAUCUGGGCUUACCUGUGCUCGUGUUUGGUGUGUGUGUUGCUGUGUGUGCAUGUAUUGUGUGUGCAGGCUUAGGUAGAUGUAGGGAUACAGGCGUUGUGGAAACCAUUAGGUCACUUUAAUUAUGAUCAGCCCCCAUUAUUUUAAUAUAUAUUAUUAUUAUAUUUGUGUGUCUAUGUGUGUGUGUCUGUGGGAGUAGAUAAUGUAAAUUGCUAAACAAAGCUAAACAUAAAGAAUUAUCUGACAUGGCGCCUUGUCUCUCUCUCUGGAAAAGCUCUCCGGGUGGCUCUUAUUUGUACAUUUCUUUUUAAAACAACUUAAAUAAAACAAAACCAUGAAACAUCAUUUCAGGGACACUACA